ACAUUUAAGUGGAAACAACAUUAGUCUAAUCGAGGAAAAUGCUAUAGGAAACUUAUCCCAGCUAUCUACGUUGAACCUUGGUUCUAAUCCAAUUAACUGUGAUUGCAGUGUAAUUCCAUUUUGGUCAUGGCUAAUUGAAAGAGCAUCUAUUGGAACAAGUGCUAAAUGUAGCGACGGAAAAUUUAUUAUUUCUCUGAGAUCAUCUGAGCUGGACAAAUGUAAUCCUGAUAAUUGCCAAUGCUUUAAUGGUGGAAAAUGUAUCACGAGCGGGGAUGGAAAAGUUGUUUGUGACUGUAUUGGACAAUGGACUGGCGAAUUUUGUCUAGAAAGUCAGUGUACGACAUACGACUGUGGAUUUGGAAACUGCUUUGUAGAACCAAUCAAUGGAACAGCUCAGUGUGUUUGUGACAACAAACACCCAACCUAUUGUCCUGGUAAGCAGUUUAAUUUAGGUGACUAACUGAUCAAAAACUAUGAAAUGGAAAGUUUGACAACAAUCGUAACAUUUAUUAGUAAAAAAAGCAAACCUUAAGAUAUAGCGGAAAUGUAUAUGAAUAUAUUUUAAUUAAUGAAAGAUCUUGCAUUGUUCUGAUUUAUUCAGACCAUUAAAAUGAAAAAAAAAGUUCUUACAGUUCCAAUUGAUAUUUACAUUUGAAUGUGUUAUUAAAAUAUGCAAAUCCACUUUUGAUUAUAGUUUUAAUAUUGUCUCAUUUAAAGAUAAAUAAAUGUUAUACUGUCAUAUGUACAAGAUAAUAUGGUGUUAUUCUCAGUUUUCAUUUGAAACGAUGUAUUUACUAAGAUUAAUCAUUUCAUUAAUCCUAAACAUUUUAUGAUACAAUAUAUAACACACUAUGUUUAUAUACGUGUCACCUACUAACAUUAACAGCUUUUUUUGUUUCAUUAUGAAAUUGCAUGUGUGUAGGAAUAUAACGUUAACACUCUUGUCGUUAUCAAUUUUAAAUAGAAAAUGUUUUCAUAUAUAAUAACAUACAUUUUUCGAAAAGAGAAAUGAUUGUGUAAAUAUUAUUUACUUAAUAUGAAAAUAAAGAAUAUUAGAAGCAGUUAUGAGUUGAUAUUUGUUUUAUUGCCAAUAUGUAAUCGUUUGGAUUUUGGUUAUAGAUCCAUUUAUUUGUUAUUUGAUUUCUUUGUUAGAUUUAUGAUACCUGACAGAUUGUUCUGGUUGAAUAAUUAUCGUUGUUGUUUAUAACUAAACAGUUAAACGGUCAUGACAGAAUAUAUUGAAGUGUUUUCAAAACAUUUCCUGUUUUCUAUUUUGUUUCAUUCAACUUUAUAUAUAAUGUCAAAGAUAAAUUUUUCGUCAAUGAAAAACAUUCAAGGGUUUUCAAAACAUUUGUAUUUUUGUUGUUUUUAAUGAUUAUAUAUUCAUAACAUGUAUCCUUUACUGAAAUAAUUCGCCACUUAGAUCAGUUUUGUUUUAGGAUAAUCAACGUAACACUUAUAAUGGCAAAUUUUCUGAAUUAAUCUCAUUUCUUUAUUCUCUUUGCAAUCACGUAUCUAUGAUUUUGAGAAAAUGGCCCAAAAAUGGUGUGUUCAACUGCAGAUUACAGCAUGGAACAUGAUGAUUAUAAACCAAAUUUAAAGGUUUUUUUUGUCUUUUAGAUGUGAAGAACCUGUUCGAGUACUUCCAUUGUCCCCCGAAUUAAUUUCAACUUAUGUAGAAUCAACAGCAAGUAGAAUCGCCUACAUCGAAACAAAAUUACAUCAUGCCGUUGUUCUAGUUGGUCCAAACUGUUGGUGCAAUUCAACUGACAUUGGCGCAGUAAAAUGUCAUGUUAUUCCUCAUUUAUUUAAACAGUAUAUUUUGACGAUGCACGUAUUGCAUUUGGCAAUUCACUAAAUAUACACUGAUUUCAUUCAUAUAUUUGCUGCUGAAGUUUAUCUGAUAUAUGUGAUAAUUAUUGUGCCCAACAAGCAGUCAAAUAAAAUCAUGCUCAUUGAACCUGGUAUGCUUUUAUAGUUAUUGAAUCUUGCUGUUAUAUGUUUUCUUUUCUUACAUGAGUAGGUUUAAGUAUGUACAAAGAUUUAUUCUUUUGGGAAAUCCCUUAAUUUUAUUCUUUUGUGUAUAGUCCGACUGUAUAUCAUUCAUUUAACAAUAAGCAGCCUCCAGAUAAAAAACAAUUUUUGAAAAUAACUCAAUCAAAUUCUUACAAUAGUAUUAUUUAAAAAAAAGAUACCGAACUCCGAGGAAAAAUUCAACAGAAAGUUCGCAAAAAAAUGACAAAAUCAAAAGGUCAAUCACAUCAACCAAAUGGAUUACUGUCAUAUAUUUUGACUUGGUUCAGGCAUUUUUAUGUAGUAAAUGGUGAGCUAAAAUGGUUUUAUAGCUAUAUAAAUCCCUCACUUGUUCAGAUUGUUGAAUUGUCUUUUGCUGAAGUUAUCAUCUGUGAUGGUUUAAUUUGUAUAUGUGUAUUUGUUUUAUAUUUCAUCGAAAAAAAUCAAAAAUAUUGCUAAUUAUUGUUCUAUCAGUGUUUUUCCGAAAAUGUGUUUCCCUUGUCCAUCUCCUGAUUUAUUGAUAGUAAAAUGUUCUGUUUAUACAUGAAUGUAAAUGUACUAACAUAAGUACUAAUGUUUCGAUUCCCUCGUGCAAGUAUGCCUUAAUUGUCCUCAACCUAUGUUCUUAUAUUUUUUCGAUUUCAUGACUUCAUCGUUUUUUAUAUUACUAUAAUAAACUUACAGGCGUACCUGAUUGGGGUUACUUUGUAUAUAAUGUUUCUUGGAGUCCUUUACUUUUUUGUUGCAAUUAUAGAAAUUUGACAGAAAAAUAACAUUUUGUGGAUUUAACUUUAUUUACAAUCUACAGGUACACUGUCCAAUUUUGAAUGAUGUACACAACUCUAUAUUUAAAUAUGACAUAAAACAAACUGCCAGUGGUUAAUAAAAUUCAUAUUUAGACAUUGUGGAUAUCAUAUUGUUGAAAACCUGUUGUAUUGAAUAGUAAACUUUACCAUGUACUGUAUUUUAUGGGACAAACAAAUUAAAAUGUCAUUCCAAACAUCCAAUAUGUAUUUCUCAUUUACACACACACUUUAACUUCAUUGAUCAAAUUUCAAUCGCCAGGUAUCGUUCAUUCAUAGGCACAAACUUCAGCACCGUUGAUUUAGGAGUAUACUUCAAAUCAGUUUCAAUCAGGACCGUGUUCUGAAAUUUAAAAACAAAUGAGGAAAACACACAUAGUGGCUGGUAAUAUAUUGUUAUAGCUUCUCUAGAAAUGUUUCAAUGAUUAGUUGAGAAAACCUUACACGCAUAUACCAUUUUGUUUUCUGUUUGUAAUUGUUAAAUUAGUUUUGUUAUUUUAAAAACAAGUUGUAACUGAAAAAAUAGUAAUAUGUAAUUUUGUAUAUUUUCAUUUUUACUUAAGUCUCAAAGAUAUGUAUAGAAUGCAAUUCAUCGCGACACUAUUCGAACUUGUGAAUACAGUUACAUGGUCAAAAACUGAACAUGAAAUCAAUGUCUGAUGUAAAUAUUACUUAUGGGUUGAGUACCGUUUUAAUGUGAAAUAAAGUACACUUAUUUUAA